GGACCCGUAGCUCAGCGGUAGAGCAUCUGAUUCCAGUUUAAAACUUUCACUUAUAAAGUAAAUAUUAACUGCCUCCAGAAGGUCAUCCGUUCAAAUCGGGUCGGGUUCA